CCUCUGAUAGCUCAGUUGGCAGAGCGUGGGACUGUAAUUGGAUACUUCGGAUUAUCACAUCCCGAGGCCGCCCGUUCGAACCGGGCUCAGAGGA